AACGAACGUUAGCGGCGCGCCUAACACAUGCAAGUCGUGCGAGAAAGGGCUUCGGCCCCGGUACAGCGGCGCACGGGUGAGUAACACGUAGGUCAUCUACCCUUGAGUGGGGGAUAACCCUCCGAAAGGAGGGCUAAUACCGCGUAACGCCAGCAAUGGCCAAAGCGGGCCUCUCCACGGAAGCUCGCGCUUGAGGAUGAGCCUGCGGCCCAUCAGCUAGUUGGUAGGGUAACGGCCUACCAAGGCUAAGACGGGUAGCUGGUCUGAGAGGAUGGUCAGCCACACUGGAACUGAGACACGGUCCAGACUCCUACGGGAGGCAGCAGUGGGGAAUCUUGCGCAAUGGGCGAAAGCCUGACGCAGCGACGCCGCGUGAGCGAUGAAGGCCUUCGGGUUGUAAAGCUCUGUGGGGAGGGAAGAAUAAGGGCUGGCCAAUAUCCAGCCCGAUGACGGUACCUCCUUAGCAAGCACCGGCUAACUCUGUGCCAGCAGCCGCGGUAAGACAGAGGGUGCAAACGUUGUUCGGAAUUACUGGGCGUAAAGAGCGUGUAGGCGGCUAUACAAGUCGGAUGUGAAAGCCCGUGGCUCAACUGCGGAAGAGCACCCGAAACUGUGUAGCUAGAGUCCCGGAGAGGAAGGUGGAAUGCUUGGUGUAGAGGUGAAAUUCGUAGAUAUCAAGCGGAACACCGGUGGCGAAGGCGGCCUUCUGGACGAGGACUGACGCUGAGACGCGAAAGCGUGGGGAGCAAACAGGAUUAGAUACCCUGGUAGUCCACGCCGUAAACGAUGAGUGCUAGGUGUCACGGGCUUUGACCCUCGUGGUGCCGAAGCUAACGCGUUAAGCACUCCGCCUGGGGAGUACGGCCGCAAGGCUAA
rnacentral:rRNA from 1 species